GGUGAAGAAACUGAGGUCACCAGUUCUCCCUGACCUGAUGUGAGGGAAGCUGAAAACACAACAGUUUGGAUGUCAGUCCGGCAAAGGGUUAUAAGAACAGUUCUCAAACUCCUAAACUUCUUUUAGUCAGCAAGUGGUCAGCACCCACCAAGCAGAGCUGGGAAUUGAGAAGGAAGCUCAUAAAACAGGCAACAUUUGUCCUUGGAUUUAAAGGAACAGUGUCCAGAAAAGGGGCCAGAGGGAAGUGCUGAAGGUGAUGGUGGUGCCUCCUGGGAAGCAAAAGUGUUCCUCCUUCCUAAGGAGCUAAAGGUGUCUGGUAAAGGAAAGCACAGAAUCCAAUAUAGAAACUGAUGAGCCUUUUCACUCCCUGGGAAUGACAUACAUAUAUAAAAGGAAACAUUCUUGAAAUCAGGAGACAAAACCACAAGGUGAGACCCUUGGCCCUUCUAUUUUUAUGACCUCACU